rnacentral:rRNA from 1 species
UACGAAGGGGGCGAGCGUUGUUCGGAUUUACUGGGCGUAAAGGGCGCGUAGGCGGCCUUGUCAGUCAGGCGUGAAAGCCCCGGGCUCAACCUGGGAACGGCGCUUGGGACGGCGAGGCUGGAGUUCGGGAGAGGAGAGUGGAAUUCCCAGUGUAGGGGUGAAAUUCGUAGAUAUUGGGAAGAACACCGGUGGCGAAGGCGGCUCUCUGGACCGACACUGACGCUGAGGCGCGAAAGCGUGGGGAGCAAACAGG